AGAGAGAUAGGUAUAACGCUACCCGCUUCGUUUAUUUCGUUAAGAAAUAAACUUAGCUGAAAAUAUGAAUCAACUAGGAUUCGAACUUGGGACCUCUGGUACCAACCACCAAGCCCUUCGCCACUUAUAUUUCUCAUUCCAACAUUUAUUAAUAGUUAUAGUACCCACCUGCCGCCUAUCUCGUUGAGGGUUCGAACUCUUUAAAAUUUAAAAAUCAUAAUUUUAAAUUUUAAUUUUAAAAUUAUAAAUUUUAAAAUCUAAAAAUUUAAAUUCUAUUUUAAAAUAAAACUUUCUCUCU
rnacentral:lncRNA from 1 species